GUGCACCAGUCGCGAAAACUUGUCAAUGCACGAAAGUGUGAACGGGCUAUCCCGAGUGCCGUCCGCUGAGGAUGGCUUUUCUCCGCUGUAAGAAGGCGGGGGAAUAAGGAGAGGGCAAGUCUGGUGUCAGCCGCCGCGGUAAUACCAGCUCUCCGAGUGGUAGGGAUGUUUAUUGGGCUUAAAGCGUCCGUAGCUGGCCUUGCAAGUCUCUUGUUAAAUCCAGCGAUUCAAUCGUUGGACUGCGGGAGAUACUGUUAGGCUAGGAGGCGGGAGAAGCCGACGGUAUUUCCGGGGUAGGGGUGAAAUCCUAUAAUCCCGGGAAGACCACCAGUGGCGUAGGCGGUCGGCUAGAACGCGCUCGACAGUGAGGGACGAAAGCUGGGGUAGCGAACCGGAUUAGAUACCCGGGUAGUCC
rnacentral:rRNA from 1 species